ACCUGGCUGGCUCAAUCGGUGGGGCAUUAGACUCUUGAUCUUGGGAUGGUGAGUUCGAGCCCCACAUUAGGUG
rnacentral:tRNA from 1 species